CCUUCCCUUCCAACAAUCCUUAUCCUUAGUCCUUAUCCUUUUCUGUUUUCCUAAUUUACCUCACCUCUCCAUCACUCAUCUUCCUCCUUAUCUUUCACUCUGUCCUCUCCGUUUCCCUGAAUUCACUUUUUUUUGCUACCCAAAUUUUCAAUUGACCUUUUCUUCCCUUUUUAUUUUUCGACUUUCGUUAGGGUUUUGCUGAUCUUUAUUGUCAAUUCGUUGCAGAAUCGUGAAUAUUUGUGGGUACUGUUAUUGGAAGGUCUCGAACAAUCAUUCAUCCUCAUGUCAGUGGCAUUGCUGCUCUUAUCCGCUUUGCUCACCCAGAUCGUCAUUAAUCAGUGGGUAAGUUUCAUUUUUAUGUAUUAGGGUUUAUUAGGGUUCAUGUCAUUGGAGUAAAUUCUUUGUCUCUCUUUUAAUUUAGUUUUCUUGGAUUUGGCAUUUUUUUUGGUUAAAGUUGAGAGUUAUUUGUGGGAUUGUUUGAAACUUCGAAUAUGAUGUCUGUAAAUCAGGGUAUGUUACACUAUGUAUAGGAUCAUAUAUAUGGUGCAUUUGUUCACAAAACAAGAAUAAGCCCACCAUUUUUUUCAAAAGUUGGGGUGGAAAUAAGCUUGAUCUUCUUGAAAGACUUAUAAAACAACUUUUCCUUGAAAUUGAAGGCCAAUCAAUUGAUUAGACCAGUUUGGAAGACUGUUUGAGAGACUAUAAAUACAUGUUUGAGAGAAGGGGUAUUUAAAACAACUUGUGAUGAACAGCUUCGAGGUGCAUUACCCCCAGAAAGUCACAUUGCAAGGGUUGCUUUUCUAACUCCCAAGUUAUUUUCCCAGAAUAGAUGGCUUGUGUAGUUCAUCUUGCAGGUGAAUUAUUUUCUUUAUUUAUUUUCAAUCUUAUACUAAUAUUGUACUGUUUUUAUUUGUUAAAUUGAGAAUUAAAUGUUAUAAUCACAGAAAAGCUAAUGUGUAGUGAUUAAGUUUGACAACUUCAUUGUUGUCUUACUCCCUCCGUUUCUUUUUGUUUUCCCGUUUACUUUUUGCACAGUUUUCAAAGCAAAUUUUAAAUCUUAAUAUCUCUAAAUACACAUAAUAAAAAAUUAUAGAAAACACGUAAUAAAAAAGUACACAUUUAGACGAAUCUAACGAGAUCUCUCGUCAUCACAUUUCUUUGCAGUUUUCAGCAUUCAUGCUUCUUCCUCGAAAUUCUUUUGUUAUUCUCUUUUCUACACUAAUAAAAUUGAGCUUUUCCAUUGAGUCUCAUUAUUAAUUUGAUACCAUCUAACAUGCUCAAAAUGAGAAAGAGAAGGGGAAAGGAGGAUAGAAGAAAAUAAGUAAAGUUUGAAAGUCCUUUCAUUUUGUUUAUAUUUGUUUGGGAAAAUGUCUUUUGGAAAAAAGUUUUUUGACAUUAUUUUUGUGAUUUUCUAUGGAUUGUGCAUUAUUUCUUUGUUAUGAACCAUGACCCUCUUAACUUACAACCUGCCCCUAAACAUUACACUCAUAAACUGAUCCUAAGCGAACGCGCACCGCCCCAUCCAUUAACUGUGUCUGAAUGUGAGUAUAUGUUAUACCACUUUCAUGGCAUUUUCAGUGUAAUCCACAUGGUUUACAUUCAAGUUUUCUGGGUUUUUUUUAUUAUCAGCUCAUCAGAAUCGAAAUUGUGCAACAUUUCUAUAUUUAUCUUGAUUUUUGUAGCUUAUUUUUACUCGAUGUUGGCAGCGAGGGAUGCAGCAUGAACAACAUCAAAACGUCAGCAAAAACAAUCAGCUUUAGAAUAGUUACUAGAACUUGAUUUAAGACUUUCAGCUCACAUGAGAUUUGCCCAGAAGGCUUGUAGUGUAAUAGAGUCAAUAAUUUUUAGAAAAGGCUUGCAUUAAUUUGUUCAGAUUGCAUUGUAAUCAACAUAAGGCAAUAUGCCGAUAUUUCUAUUGUUCUUAGUUUUACUUGUCUUAACAAGCUAGAUUGUAUUAAAUUUGUUUAGCUUUGUUAAAUUGAGCUUGACUUGUUUGAAUGCCAA